UUAAUCGGAAUUACUGGGCGUAAAGCGCACGCAGGCGGCUUGUUAAGUCAGAUGUGAAAUCCCCGGGCUCAACCUGGGAACUGCAUCUGAUACUGACAAGCUUGAGUCUCGUAGAGGGGGGUAGAAUUCCAGGUGUAGCGGUGAAAUGCGUAGAGAUCUGGAGGAAUACCGGUGGCGAAGGCGGCCCCCUGGACGAAGACUGACGCUCAGGUGCGAAAGCGUGGGGAGCAAACAGGAUUAGAUACCCUGGUAGUCAAGGGCGAAUUCGC
rnacentral:rRNA from 1 species